rnacentral:lncRNA from 1 species
GAAAGGUGAAGAAGCCUCAGGGAAUGUGGCGGGUACAGCGGCUCGACUCACCUGCUUGCCGGCCCGCGGGUCCCGGGGUAGUUGGGGACGUUGGGGACGCUACCUGAGUGGGCAGGCUGAAACUCCCCGAUCGUGGCCAGGAGACAUAGAAGGAAUUCUGCAGGCCAUGCUCGGAAACUUCUUCAGCAGCAAAUCUGAUUCAGACUGAGUCAGGGAUCCUGCCUGAGGUUUCUCAGUAUCGCUGCACUGCAGCAUUUGAGUAAGAAGUCAGGUUUCCAACGACUCACCAGCGAACAUUCCUUUUGUGGGAAGACCACUGCUUACUUAAUUUGAGGCUUCUGCGAAGACUAGGUUUCAUCAAGAAAUUCUCUAAUAAGGAGCAAAAGAGACGGCUCAGAAUGAGAGCUCUUCGAAGAAUCCAGCCUCUUUAGCCCCGCGCUCUGAACGCACCGCCACUUUACAAUGCACGCUGGAGAGCCUAACCGGACACGCUUUUACGUUGUUCCUCUGCUCCGCCCCGCGAGACCUGCGCUCUCUCCCACGCCGUGAAAUUCCCCGCGAUUCCAAAGCGGGCACGGACACCGAAGCCCUAAGCACCCUUUAUGUACAUAGAUCACUCCCCACUCUAACACCACAGACAGCUCAGGUUCUCAAGAAAACACCCGGCUUCUGGACCUGCCCUCCUGCUGUCAAUUAGCAUUUCAUUUCCCUCUGUAGGCUUAUUAACAUUAACCGGUUUCAAAACUGCUUUACCGUUUGCUGUUCCUACAGCUGUGUUUAAAUGAAAUUCUCCUG